rnacentral:rRNA from 1 species
AUGGACCAACAAAGCAGCCAAGAACUUUUGAUCGAAAGCAAGGGCGCGGGUUUCACAAUGCAGCUUGAACUUCUACCCUAUGACGUUCUGCGUGACAUACUGUCACGGUUGUCGAUCAAGGAUGUCGUCAGGAUGAGCGUGCUUUCUCGUGAAUGGAGACAGCAGCGGAUAUGCCAUCCAGAUCUGGUCCUCACCAAAGACACCUUUGGCAUAAGUACAGACAUGAAUACUAAACGAGCAUCCCGGGCUGCUGAAUUCAUCGCCAAUGUGGACAGUGUAUUGCGCCCACUGUGGUCUACUUGUACUACAACUACGACUACGCUGGACAAGUUUGUUGUCGAAUUUGGCCUUCGCAGAAAGAACAAGUAUCACAUUGAUAAAUGGGUUAGCUUUUCCAUUGUGUCAAGGGCAAAGCACAUUGCUUUUCAUUUCACGUUUGAUGUCGAUUGCUUUGGCCCUGGAUGUGACCAGUACAAGUAUGUUUUCCCGCUGUGCAGGCUCAGUGGUCCAAGCGGCUCUUGUGUCACAUCUCUUAUUCUGGGCUAUGUAUGGUUAAAGCUGCCCCCCAGUUUUUGCGGCAUCAUAAACCUUAGGAAACUAACACUAAAUACGGUGUCCAUUAGUGAUGAUGAUCUCCGGUGCCUGUUGCUAAGUUGUGCCCUUCUAGAGAGUAUAAACAUAGAGUGGUGCGACUCCUUGUCAAGUUUACUCAUAGGACAGGAACUGUGCAGGUUGCAGUACCUGCGUGUGCGCCAUUGUGAACUGAAAAUGAUAGAGUUACAUGCUCCAAAUCUUACCAAAUUUGAGUUUGAUGACUAUGUGAUGCAAACCGUGCUCAGUGAUUCUUCAAAGUUGUCAGAGGCAAUUUUCGUGUCAAACUUGAGAGUGCUCGAUGGUUAUGAUGAUGUUUUGGAUUAUAUGUUUACCGAGCUUCCAACUGCUCUUCCUCAUGUGCACACACUACUUCUACUUUUGACUGUUAAUCAGGUGGAAAGAUUCAGUAACACCCGCGAUUGCUUCAUGACUUUGAGGCAUCUGAACAUGAACCUUGAUAUCUUUCUCGGUCCAUAUGAUGAUAGCUGGGUUAUGGGGUUUGUUAAUCUCUUGGAAUUAGCACCUCUCUUAGAAGAACUGGAACUGCAUAUGGAUCGUGAUAGAUUUUGCUUUGAAAAUCCGAGGACAGUGUUAGCGGCGCAAGGGCCUCCGCAUCGUCAUCUCAGGAGUGUCUACAUGUCUGGAUUUUGUGAUGUAUUGGGGCUAGCCGAGCUGGCGCUCUACAUCCUUAGGAAUGCUACUGUGCUUCAACGUAUGGUAGUAGAUCCUGUGGCAGGGAUGAUGGAUAACGCGUUGACCGAACGUUUCUGUUCGGUCAGAAAUGGCGGUAGCAGUGAAGAGAUUGUUUUUCCAACCGAUGGAACUCAGAAAUGCGUAGGCAAGAAGAGGAUGUUUGCAAAAAAUAACCUUGACAAAGAGGAGUUUUGUCACGUCCUCACCAUUUUAUGA